rnacentral:rRNA from 1 species
UACGAAGGGUGCAAACGUUGCUCGGAAUUAUUGGGCGUAAAGCGCACGUAGGCGGCUUUGCAAGUCCCAUGUGAAAGCCCACGGCUUAACCGUGGAAGUGCAUGGGAAAACUGCAGAGCUUGAGUACUUAAGAGGAUCGCGGAAUUCCCGGUGUAGAGGUGAAAUUCGUAGAUAUCAGGAGGAACACCGGUGGCGAAGGCGACUUCCUGGACACCAACUGACGCUGAGACGCGAAAAGCGUGGGGGAGCAAACAGG